UGGAGAUGUUCCAUAGUCCCUUGGACCUA
rnacentral:piRNA from 1 species